ACACCCCUCAAGCGUAGCUGGUAUUGGAUAUUCGCGGGCCCUUCUAUAAGCUCGCGGGUCCGAAAAACAGUGGCGGUCCCCGAGGAUUUCGCGCGUAGUAAAUAUUAUCCCGCGUUGGAAAGAAUCGGUGGGCUUGCCAAAACCCCCCCAUAAUCUCCAUGAUUGACCUCGGAUCAGGUAGGGAUACCCGCUGAACUUAA
rnacentral:misc_RNA from 1 species